rnacentral:misc_RNA from 1 species
GAUGAAGAACGCAGCGAAAUGCGAUACGUAAUGUGAAUUGCAGAAUUCAGUGAAUCAUCGAAUCUUUGAACGCAUAUUGCGCUCUCUGGUAUUCCGGAGAGCAUGCUUGUUUGAGUAUCAGUAAACACCUCAACUCCCUUUUCUUUUUUGAAAUGGGAGCUGGACUUGAGUGAUCCCAACACUUUUCUCACUGGAAAGUGGCGGGUCACUUGAAAUGCAGGUGCAGCUGGACUUUUCUCUGAGCUAUAAGCAUAUCUAUUUAGUCUGCCUAAAAAACAGAUUAUUACCUUUGCUGCAGCUAACAUAAAGGAGAUUAGUUCUUGUGCUGACUGAUGCAGGAUUCACAAAGACAGGCUUCGGCCGACUUUGUAAACUCGAUCUCAAAUCAAGUAAGACUACCCGCUGAACUUAAGCAUAUCAAUAAGCGGAGGA